rnacentral:rRNA from 1 species
GACGAACGCUGGCGGCGUGCUUAACACAUGCAAGUCGAACGGAAAGGCCCUGCUUUUGUGGGGUGCUCGAGUGGCGAACGGGUGAGUAACACGUGAGUAACCUGCCCUUGACUUUGGGAUAACUUCAGGAAACUGGGGCUAAUACCGGAUAGGAGUUCCUGCUGCAUGGUGGGGGUUGGAAAGUUUCGGCGGUUGGGGAUGGACUCGCGGCUUAUCAGCUUGUUGGUGGGGUAGUGGCUUACCAAGGCUUUGACGGGUAGCCGGCCUGAGAGGGUGACCGGCCACAUUGGGACUGAGAUACGGCCCAGACUCCUACGGGAGGCAGCAGUGGGGAAUAUUGCACAAUGGGCGGAAGCCUGAUGCAGCAACGCCGCGUGCGGGAUGACGGCCUUCGGGUUGUAAACCGCUUUCGCCUGUGACGAAGCGUGAGUGACGGUAAUGGGUAAAGAAGCACCGGCUAAUUACGUG